GACGAACGCUGGCGGCGUGCUUAACACAUGCAAGUCGAACGGAAAGGCCCUGCUUUUGUGGGGUGCUCGAGUGGCGAACGGGUGAGUAACACGUGAGUAACCUGCCCUUGACUUUGUGAUAACUUCUGGAAACUGGGGCUCAUAUCGGAUAGAAGCUCCUGCUGCAUGGUGGGGGUUGGUAAGAUUCGGCGGUUGGGGAUGGACUCGCGGCUUAUCCGCUUGAUGGGGGGGUAGUGGCUUACCAAGGCUUUGACGGGUAGCCUGCCUGGGAGGGUGACCGGCCACCUUGCGACUGAGAGAGGGAGCAGAAUCGUACCGGACGCAGUAGUGGGGAAUAUUGCAGAAUGGGGGGAAGCCAGAUGCAGCAGCGCCGGGUGCGGAAUGACCGCCUUCGGGUGGUAAACCUCUUUCGCAUGAGAUAAAGCCUGAGUGACGGUAAUGGGUAAGAAAGCAACGGCUAACUACGUG
rnacentral:rRNA from 1 species